CGGCGCCCCUCCCCCUAGGAGUCGAGGGGCGGCCGUUUCUCCCGAGACCCUCACUCUGGGGUCGCCGCUCCGCUUCCCCGUCGCUCCCGCACCUGCCAGCGGCAGCCAAGCGCGUGCACAGCAGCCGGCCCGGGCUGAUCGCUCCACGCAUGCCCGGCACCUCGGCACACAGGGACCCUUUCCGCCCCCCACCCCCCGGAAGCGAGGACCCUGAGCCCACAAGGCCAGGGGUGCCGGUGCCCGCGGGAAGCCACUGUCAGGGACGAGUCCGUACCAGCAGUCCCCGCGUGCAGGCCUCUCUGCUGUCUGCAAGAAUAUUGACCAUUCUUUGGCCAACGGCAGCUAAUUGGUAAAUGAACCUGUUUCCGUGAACAAUGCUUGUAAGAGACAACAUUUCUCAAGGCUGUCUCAUCAGCCUGAGAGUUUGAACCUGUCUGGGCACCCUCCCCACUGGCCCAGGUCCCUCCACCAGGCUCCUCACAGCACUCAUGACAGGUGGCACUGGGAGAGAGGAGGAAGAGAGGGGGGAGCGCCUGGGGGCUCCAUUCUCUGGUAAGUUUGUCGCAUGGUGUUUCCCGCACCUUCACAACAAGCCUGUGCCGUGGGCGCCUUUAUUCUUUUUCACAAUGAGGAAACUGAGUCUCAGGUUGAGAAGUCGCCCGAGUGCCCACGGGCACCACCGUGGAAUUCAGUACUGGCUCCAGGCAGAGCCCAAACUCCCAACCGGCAGACGACACAAUACACAAUGGCAGGUGGAUGGAUGGAUGGAUGGAUGGACGGACGAAGGAUGGAAGGAUACACAGAUAAACACUGGGUGGAUGGAUGAGUGAAUGAGGGAGAAGCAAGCACCGAGGGUCUUAAAAGAAGAGAGAGCAACCUGUGUCCACAGAAGCAGUCAGCAAGGCUCUAUGACAGUGGCAGAGCUGAAACUAAGAACAUCACCUUCUUCUAGGACUUGAAAAACCGUAUUUGGUCACCCGGUGAUAAGUAUUUCACCAGGAACAGUGCAUUGCCAAAUCCGCAGGGCUUGCCGGGAGGUGGCAAAGGAACAGACCGCGUGGCAGGGAUGCUGAGACGCUCUGUGUAGCAGGCAGAGGCCUGGGGGGCGGGUGGGGAAUGGAAGUGCUGGCCCUUUAAUGGCCAAGCCCAGGGCUCUGGAUUCCGAUGGCAGUUGAGGAGGGAGGGUUGCAGAAGAAGAGGGACACAGGGCUUCCAGGAACUGUUCGCCAGCUUUCCAGACUAGACGGCCCGCCUCCGCUGGGCCACCAUUUUCCAGGGAGUCGCUGUCACUGCCUAGAGAUCCCCAAGGCUCCCGCCAGCCCAGGUACAGAGGGAGCAGGUCAGACCGGGUCCUGAUGUCACAUUCCCUCCUCCUUCGGCCUUUGCCCAGUCUGCACCUCCUGGACAUCCGUCCUUCACUCCCUCCCAAGGGUGCCUGAGAGCCCAGUUUGCCUGGCACUGAGUUUAGAACUGAAAGCCCCCAUUCCCGGCAGCCCCUUGUUCCACGGAAGCCAGGACGGUCCCCUGCGCUGUCCCUUCCUCGAGGACACUAGGCUCAAUCCACAUUCUGUCCCUUCCGGUCCCUACCAGCACCGUGGCCCUCAUCAGAGUCCAUUCACUUUUCCACCGCCCUCAUAUGGGGUCAUGGGAGCAGGGAGAACCCUUUAGGGCCGCAGUGCCUGCUGGGAGGGGCACUCAGUAGGUACCCAAUAAAGACCCUCUGAACGAAUGAAUCCUGGAAUAUUCACUUUCGCUUCCUGUUGGAUUUAAGCCUAACCUACCUUGCCCCAAAGCCCCCACAACUAAAUCUGGCUGCUCUCAGCUUCCACCCUCCUCCAGGCCUGGACGUCUCCGGGGAGGGCCCCCUCCAGGUGGUGCUGGGUGCAGGGCACCAGUCCAGGGCACCCCCCCAGGCCAGGCUGGGCGGGUCAUCUAGCAGGAAUCCCCGGAAUGCGGCUCAGACUUCCAAUGCCAGGCCCCACCUGUUCCGGUCUGCAAAUCCCCUCCCCACCUCCGCUGGGCUAAUCCCCUUGGUUAGAGAAGGGUCCCGAUGAGUGAGAAAAAAAGCAGCUCCUGUGACCUGAGCGGCCACAUGGAAAUCGGGAGAUGAAACGAACGGGGUUUUCCAAGGCUCUGGAAUGGGGUGGGGUGGGGGGGGGUAUUCUGCACCAGCGGUUUACCGGGUCAUUUUUAAGGAAUGUAAAUGGGGCCGCUAGUGCUCCCCCCUGCACUCCCCUGUCACGUCCAACUGUUUCCAUUUGUCCAUGUUAUUAAAACCCCCGCAGCUGUUCUUACUGAGCGCCUACUGUGUGCCGUCCCCUCGUCUAAGGACGUCAAAUACAGCCUUGUGAAUUCCCAAACAUGGUCGUGAGCUAUUCUGAUCUUUACAGAUG